GGCAGUUCUCGGGUGACACCCCCUAGAAUCAAGCUCCCUCCUCUCUGGUUCUGGGUGCAUCACUGGAGAACCACC
rfam:Myotis brandtii contig286487, whole genome shotgun sequence.